rnacentral:rRNA from 1 species
UACGUAGGGGGCAAGCGUUAUCCGGAUUUACUGGGUGUAAAGGGGGCGCAGACGGCAGCGCAAGCCAGGAGUGAAAGCCCGGGGCCCAACCCCGGGACUGCUCUUGGAACUGCGCGGCUGGAGUGCAGGAGGGGCAGGCGGAAUUCCUGGUGUAGCGGUGAAAUGCGUAGAUAUCAGGAGGAACACCGGUGGCGAAGGCGGCCUGCUGGACUGCGACAGACGUUGAGGCCCGAAAGCGUGGGGAGCAAACAGG